rnacentral:rRNA from 1 species
GACGAACGCUGGCGGCGUGCUUAACACAUGCAAGUCGAACGGAAAGGCCCUGCUUUUGUGGGGUGCUCGAGUGGCGAACGGGUGAGUAACACGUGAGUAACCUGCCCUUGACUUUGGGAUAACUUCAGGAAACUGGGGCUAAUACCGGAUAGGAGCUCCUGCUGCAUGGUGGGGGUUGGAAAGGUUCGGCGGUUGGGGAUGGACUCGCGGCUUAUCAGCUUGUUGGUGGGGUAGUGGCUUACCAAGGCUUUGACGGGUAGCCGGCCUGAGAGGGUGACCGGCCACAUCGGGACUGAGAUACGGCCCAGACUCCUACGGGAGGCAGCAGUGGGGAAUAUUGCACAAUGGGCGGAAGCCUGAUGCAGCAACGCCGCGUGCGGGAUGACGGCUUUCGGGUUGUAAACCGCUUUCGCCUGUGACGAAGCGUGAGUGACGGUAAUGGGUAAAGAAGCACCGGCUAACUACGUG